GUCAUACUUUCCUGUCUCAAUUGCGCAAAUCUGAGGUGCAUGCGUUGCUUGUAGUUGGUAGGCAAGAAUCUCAACCCAAGUAUUGACUAACCCAAUGCCUUGAGUCCAAUUCUGUUGCUGGUGCUUGAUCCACCAGACUCGAGCCGUGCUGUUCAAUUUAGCCUUAGCAAAUAAAAUCUUUCUAGCCUCGGUCAAUCCGUACCAUCUGAAAAAGAUUUCCAAACUGUGAGCCCAGUCAAGGUAUUGCUCUGGAUUAUUAUCUCCAUGAAUAUCAAGGAAAUC